rnacentral:tRNA from 2 species
AGCGAGUUAGUGUAACGGUAGCACAACAGUCUCAUGAACUGUUAGACUGGUUCAAUUCCAGGUUUCGCUA